AUCUUAAUGAGAGUUUGAUCCUGGCUCAGGACGAACGCUGGCGGCGUGCCUAAUACAUGCAAGUAGAACGCUGAGGACUGGUGCUUGCACCGGU
rnacentral:rRNA from 1 species